rnacentral:rRNA from 1 species
AUGUGGCAGUUGUCCCAAGAUGCUGUUCUUACCAGGCAAGUUAUGAAGAAUAGGAGAUGGCCUGGGAACCCCAAGUGUUCGUUUUGCAAUGAGGUUGAGUCCCCCAAACACUUAUUUUUCACCUGCCCGGUCGCUAGAGUAAUUUGGAGAUGUCUUGGGAUGGCUUUGGGAACUGACUUGUGCCCGAAUAGUUAUUGGCAAUAUUUCGCUUGGUGCAACACAUUCCUCCCUACUGGAGGAAGAUAUUAUACUGUGGGUCUCGCUGCUGUUUGUUGGGCGAUCUGGCUUGCUCGAAACCGAGCAACGUUUGAGAGAAAACAGAUUAAAACUCCCUUUGAGAUUGUUUUCUCCAUGAUUUCCUUUUUGUUGUACUGGGCAGGUUUGCAACAGGAAGCAGGGCUCAAGGAGCUGCGAAGCGGGGCAGAGAUGGUCAGGUCGAGCACAAUGCAGAUGAUGAAGAUGUGUGAAGCGGUGAGGAGGCCUAUCGAGGGAGAAUGA